GGACUACUGGGGUAUCUAAUCCCGUUCGCUCCCCUGGCUUUCGCGCCUCAGCGUCAGAUGCGCGCCAGGACACUGCCUUCGCCUUCGGUGUUCCUCCGGAUCUCUACGCAUUUCACCACUCCACCCGGAAUUCCGUGUCCCUCUCGCGCUCUCAAGUGCUGCCGUCUUUCGUAUGCUCGCCGAGUUAAGCCCUGCGCUGUCACACAAAACGCGCACCACCGCCUGCACGCCCUUUACGCCCAGUAACUCCGGACAACGCUCGCCCCCUACGUAUUACCGCGGCGGCUGGCAC
rnacentral:rRNA from 1 species